AUGGCAGACACAGGAAGAGUGGUAGUGUGUGAUAACAGGUGUGGCUGCACUGUUCCUUGUGCUGGUGGUUCCACUUGCAGGUGCACAAGUAGUGAGGGUGGUGCAAGAACUGACCACACAACAUGUCCAUGUGGAGAGCACUGUGAAUGUAAUCCAUGCAACUGCUCCAGGACUGUUGCUGCUGGAAGUGGUUGCAGAUGUGAUGCAAGCUGCACUUGUGCCUCUUGCCGCACUUGA